UACGUAGGGUGCAAGCGUUAAUCGGAAUUACUGGGCGUAAAGGGCGCGUAGGCGGCCUUCUAAGUCGAACGUGAAAUCCCCGGGCUCAACCCGGGAACUGCGUCCGAUACUGGGAGGCUUGAAUCCGGGAGAGGGAUGUGGAAUUCCAGGUGUAGCGGUGAAAUGCGUAGAUAUCUGGAGGAACACCGGUGGCGAAGGCGGCAUCCUGGACCGGUAUUGACGCUGAGGCGCGAAAGCCAGGGGAGCAAACGGG
rnacentral:rRNA from 1 species